rnacentral:rRNA from 3 species
AAAUUGAAGAGUUUGAUCAUGGCUCAGAUUGAACGCUGGCGGCAGGCCUAACACAUGCAAGUCGAGCGGUAGCACAGAAGAGCUUGCUCUUUGGGUGACGAGCGGCGGACGGGUGAGUAAUGUCUGGGAAACUGCCUGAUGGAGGGGGAUAACUACUGGAAACGGUAGCUAAUACCGCAUAACCUCGCAAGAGCAAAGAGGGGGACCUUCGGGCCUCUCGCCAUCAGAUGUGCCCAGAUGGGAUUAGCUAGUAGGUGAGGUAAUGGCUCACCUAGGCGACGAUCCCUAGCUGGUCUGAGAGGAUGACCAGCCACACUGGAACUGAGACACGGUCCAGACUCCUACGGGAGGCAGCAGUGGGGAAUAUUGCACAAUGGGCGCAAGCCUGAUGCAGCCAUGCCGCGUGUGUGAAGAAGGCCUUCGGGUUGUAAAGCACUUUCAGCGGGGAGGAAGGCGGUAAGGUUAAUAACCUUAUCGAUUGACGUUACCCGCAGAAGAAGCACCGGCUAACUCCGUGCCAGCAGCCGCGGUAAUACGGAGGGUGCAAGCGUUAAUCGGAAUGACUGGGCGUAAAGCGCACGCAGGCGGUCUGUUAAGUUGGAUGUGAAAUCCCCGGGCUUAACCUGGGAACUGCAUUCAAAACUGACAGGCUAGAGUCUUGUAGAGGGGGGUAGAAUUCCAGGUGUAGCGGUGAAAUGCGUAGAGAUCUGGAGGAAUACCGGUGGCGAAGGCGGCCCCCUGGACAAAGACUGACGCUCAGGUGCGAAAGCGUGGGGAGCAAACAGGAUUAGAUACCCUGGUAGUCCACGCUGUAAACGAUGUCGAUUUGGAGGUUGUGCCCUUGAGGCGUGGCUUCCGGAGCUAACGCGUUAAAUCGACCGCCUGGGGAGUACGGCCGCAAGGUUAAAACUCAAAUGAAUUGACGGGGGCCCGCACAAGCGGUGGAGCAUGUGGUUUAAUUCGAUGCAACGCGAAGAACCUUACCUACUCUUGACAUCCAGAGAACUUAGCAGAGAUGCUUUGGUGCCUUCGGGAACUCUGAGACAGGUGCUGCAUGGCUGUCGUCAGCUCGUGUUGUGAAAUGUUGGGUUAAGUCCCGCAACGAGCGCAACCCUUAUCCUUUGUUGCCAGCGAUUCGGUCGGGAACUCAAAGGAGACUGCCGGUGAUAAACCGGAGGAAGGUGGGGAUGACGUCAAGUCAUCAUGGCCCUUACGAGUAGGGCUACACACGUGCUACAAUGGCGUAUACAAAGAGAAGCGACCUCGCGAGAGCAAGCGGACCUCAUAAAGUACGUCGUAGUCCGGAUUGGAGUCUGCAACUCGACUCCAUGAAGUCGGAAUCGCUAGUAAUCGUAGAUCAGAAUGCUACGGUGAAUACGUUCCCGGGCCUUGUACACACCGCCCGUCACACCAUGGGAGUGGGUUGCAAAAGAAGUAGGUAGCUUAACCUUCGGGAGGGCGCUUACCACUUUGUGAUUCAUGACUGGGGUGAAGUCGUAACAAGGUAACCGUAGGGGAACCUGCGGUUGGAUCACCUCCUUA